UACGUAGGGGGCAAGCGUUGUCCGGAUUUAUUGGGCGUAAAGAGCGUGUAGGCGGCCAUACAGGUCAGCUGUGAAAACUCGAGGCUCAACCUCGAGACGUCGGUUGAAACCGUAUGGCUAGAGUCCGGAAGAGGAGAGUGGAAUUCCCGGUGUAGCGGUGAAAUGCGCAGAUAUCGGGAAGAACACCCGUGGCGAAGGCGGCUCUCUGGGACGGUACUGACACUGAGGCACGAAAGCGUGGGGAGCAAACAGG
rnacentral:rRNA from 1 species